rnacentral:misc_RNA from 1 species
UUUCCGUAGGUGAACCUGCGGAAGGAUCAUUCAUAAUAAAGUGUUUUAUGGCACUUUUUAAAAAUCCAUAUCCACCUUGUGUGCAAUGUUAGAUCUCGUCAAACUUGGCGAGAUUUUUAUACAUCAACUCAUUCUUUAACUAAUUUGUCUGAAGAAUGUUAUGAAUACUUAAUUCAAAAUACAACUUUCAACAACGGAUCUCUUGGCUCCC